rnacentral:rRNA from 1 species
UACGGAGGGUGCGAGCGUUGUCCGGAAUCACUGGGCGUAAAGGGUGUCAAGGCGGUCGUAUUAGUCUUCCGUAAAAUCCAUGGGCUCAACCUAUGGCUCGCGGGAGAAACGGUACGACUUGAGGGUGGGAGAGGUGCGUGGAACUCACGGUGUAGGGGUGAAAUCCGUUGAUAUCGUGGGGGAACACCAAAGGCGAAGGCAGCGCACUGGCCCAUUCCUGACGCUCACACACGAAAGCCAGGGUAGCGAACGGG